AGGUAUACAGGGAGGAGGAGGUGGUGGUCUAGAGGGGAGGUAUACAGGGAGGAGGAGGUGGUGGUCUAGAGGGGAGGUAUACAGGGAGGAGGAGGUGGUGGUCUAGAGGGGAGGUAUACAGGGAGGAGGAGGUGGUGGUCUAGAGGGGAGGUAUACAGGGAGGAGGAGGUGGUGGUCUAGAGGGGAGGUAUACAGGGAGGAGGAGGUGGUGGUCUAGAGGGGAGGUAUACAGGGAGGAGGAGGUGGUGGUCUAGAGGGGAGGUAUACAGGGAGGAGGAGGUGGUGGUCUAGAGGGGAGGUAUACAGGGAGGAGGAGGUGGUGGUCUAGAGGGGAGGUAUACAGGGAGGAGGAGGUGGUGGUCUAGAGGG